UAAUACAAAUUAUCUACUGUUUUUGUGGUUUUGUGUGGAUUUUUGUGGAGAAUUCUCGCUGUUUUAUGAGGAUUGAUAGAAAAUACUUGAGAUCUACGAGUGUUUCCUAUCACUUUCAUGGCAAUAUUGGAAUUUUGAAGGUUGUAUAGGAUAUGAUUUUGAAUAAUAUGUGAUUCAUCACCAAAAAUUGCCUUGAUUUGGCACGAAUCCUGAGGCAUAUUUAUAUUGGAAUCUUCUGAUAUUAAAUUCGGGACCAUCAAACUCUGAUUUCAUCAAACAUAUAGUUGAACUGAAUAUCUCUAAUGAAUCCUAUGACAUCAAAAUUAGUAAUCCAAGCCAAAAUGGGUCCAAUUCUAGGGGUUGAAGUAUAUUUGAAAUCCUCAUAAUAUAAAUUGGGUGACCAAAUGACCUAUAAAUCUGGUAUGCUUAAUGUCAGAUCCAGCCGCUCAACUAGUUGAAUCUAGUGUGAUUGAUUCUUACAUUAUUUAAGCUAAUUAAUGUUGAGAAUUUCUCUUUAUCGUUGUAGUUGAACUUGGGUUUAUCUGAACAUGAUGAUGUGAUCCAUCAACCCCUCUUUUAUUGUUGCCGGUAGAACCUGAGGAUGAAGUGGGAAUCAGUCUGUUAGCUGCUUAAAUUACUCAAAUCCUCCUUGUGAAGGAUUUUUGCAAAGUCCUUCGAAAGCAGGCAGUGUCUGCUGCUUUUGGUAGUCAAACCUUAAUACUUGUCUGUGUUUUGUUGAUGGCGAGGCAUAUUGACGACCUCAAUUGGCAAGUUGUUUAGUUUAUUAACGUGUUGAUGUUUUAUGGCUUAAGGGUUGUUUAGUUGCUAAUUGUGUUAAUCAAAUGGGAUCAAACCAUAUUUAAUAACUUGUAUGUUAAAUGAUUUAUUUAUUUACUAUUGUUCCGCCUUGGAAUAUUCGUGGUGAUGGAGAAAUAUAAAGUUUAAUGUCUUAGCUUUAUAUAAAGAUUCAACACACAAUCAGAUAAAAGAAUGUGUAGUCUGUAUAAGAGACAUCUAAGUUUUUACGUGAAAAGCCCUAAAAGGGGGAAAACUAUGGGGCUCUGCCUAGUUUGAAUGAAUUCACUAGUGUUUGUAGUUAAUUACAAAUGAGGCUCUUCCCGGGGGGAGGCCUUGGCUUGAUGUAGCAAAUAUACAUCAUGUAGAGUGCAUUACAUCAUGGUGGGAAUUGGAAGAAUUAGUAUUGACAUAUUUGUUUGGUCGACAGAGUGGCCUUUGCUGUCACGAUCCACUGAGAUCUGGCCCUAUAUUGCAGCAGAUUCGUAUCAUAAUAAAAGAAAAAUAGUACAAAAGUUGUGUACUAGAAAAAAAAUGGUUUGUUUGGUCAGCAAGAUCAUAGGAGGCAGGCGACUCAGGGCGGAAAGAUUAUACUCAAAGAUUAUACUCAGGUGACAGUGGUCGGAAGGACCGUAGUUGGCGAGCGAUGGAGAUCGGAAAGACUGUUGUUAAGCGACAGGGGGUUGGAAGGACCGUAGUGAGCCCAAUAUCGAUUGAUUCUUACAUCAUUUAAGCUAAAAAAUGUUGAGAAUUUCUUUUUAUCAUUGUAGUUUAACUUGGGUUUAUCUUAACCUGUUGAGGUGUGAUCCAUGAACCCCUCUUAUAUUAUUGCCAGUCGCACUCCAAUGAUUAAAUUCCCCAGUCAUUCAUAAAGUAAACUCUCUGGUCCUGCAUGUAGUAAACUCUGUUGUGUUGCGGCUGCAAAGUUGGUGAUGAAGUGGGAAUCACUGUGUUAGCAGCUUAAAUUACUCAAAUUUUAGGCUGGAAAAGGGUUGCCUAUGGAUUGAUAUCAAAUUUGGAGUCUCGUGUGGGUCUUUUAAAGGAAUUUCUGCAAAGUAUUUAAUAAUUCUUUCACUGUGGUAAUGCCCUUAAAAACGAUCAGGAUUGAAGUUUGUUCUGUACUUGCUCUAUGUUGUAUUAGUUAUGGUAAAAAAAAUUUAUAAUUUUUAGAAGGAAAUCAUAUCCUUUGUUUUAUCUCUAUCACGAAGUACAGUUGGGAGGGCUAAAUCAUUUUACAGUUAUCAAGAUUAAUGAUAUACACAUUAAUCAGUAGUGUGCUGUUGAUGUCUCUUUCGAGUAAGAAUGAUUCAUAAUGGAAUAUAUCUAAGUUUCCUAUGGUAAUGUUGUAGCAUGUUUGGAUGGUCUGAAGCUUGUCAGGCAACCACAGAAGUCAUUACCAAGAGAAUUCACAACUGCUACACUUGUCCUGUUUUAUGACUCUCAAUAUCAUGUGAUCCCUUGUCUUCUUAUUGGUUCCUCAUUCUUUCUUCCUUUUAGGAAUGUAUUUUUUUGGGCUCUUUGUGCCACACAAAUGUGCAAUGUUGUAGGCAGUGAUUUUCUGCUCGUCUUAUUUGAUGGACUCCACUAUUAUUUGAUCGUUCGUAUUCUUGUUCCCUUCUACUUGUUCUCUCCUGUUGCGAAUGCCUUUUUUCUUUGCUUUGUUUGGGUGAAUUAAGCAUAAAAUAAAUAUUGUUACCUAAUAUUUACAUCUCGGUUGUUUGGUGUAGUUGAAGCCCAUAAAAAAAAUUAUAACAUACACAUAUUUUCUUAAAAUUGAAGUUUAUAAAUAUUAGGGUGUGUUCAUUAUUCAAUUUCUUGGUUUUUUCUUCAAGCCAAUCAAAAUAUAAAAAAUUUUUUUCCGCUCAAUUUCUCCUUAAUCAAACUGGCGGACAAAGACGAUUUUGGAUUCAUUUCCUUUAGUAUUUCAAUUUUGGAUUCAAAUUUUUAUUAUUAUUUUUUUGCUUCAGAGAGCCAUUGGGAUCAUAGAAUGUACUAGCUGUGGAUAUUGAUGAAUUUUGUCUAAGGUAAAUUUUUUCAUCAGUUUUGUAGAUGCAAUGAUGAUCAUGAUGGUGAAAGCUAACAUUACCUAUGUACUCAUUCGCUAUGGCUGUGAUUUUCCUCUUAUCUUUUAUUAAAGUUGCAAGUUGGCCAUUUAAAACUAAGUGUUGCAGAGAUGAGGAUACUCAAGUGCUUUACUUCAAGGUCGCAAAUUUUCAUCCUUAAGGUUCCAUCAAUACCAUGAAGCUACGAACCUCUGUAACACUGUUUCAUGUUGGUCAUUCCACAAUUGCUUUCAUUUUUUGUGAGUCUACUGAAAUUCUUUCACCACUGAUAAUAUGCUCCAAGAAGAUAAUAUUCAGUCAAAAUUUAUAUUUUGAAUAUAUUGAAUACAGCUGAUUUUUUCUUAGUGCCCAAAACUAUCCAUAAAUGCUCAUCUUGGCACUGAGUUGUGCUGUUAUAGGGCACAAAAGGGUGUAUUGAGGUAGGGUUGUAGGGCUUCCAGGCAAAACGCUAGUCAUUAUCUCCAUCUAUUCUGAUAAUUAUAGUUAUUGAUAUUU